rnacentral:misc_RNA from 1 species
UCCGGUUUGGCACCGGCAGUCCUCCCAGAGUCCCCAGCCGGUGGUUUAGACCGCUGCUGGCAACUGGAAGCGGGGGUUGCGCUCGUUGCGGGACUUAACCCAACAUCUCACGACACGAGCUGACGACAGCCAUGCAGCACCUGUGCGCGGACUCCGAAGAGGGGCCCCCGUUUCUGGGGGCUUUCCCGCGCAUGUCAAGCCCGGGUAAGGUUCUUCGCGUUGCGUCGAAUUAAACCACAUGCUCCACCGCUUGUGCGGGCCCCCGUCAAUUCCUUUGAGUUUCAGCCUUGCGGCCGUACUCCCCAGGCGGGGCACUUAAUGCGUUAGCGCCGGCACCCGGGGGGUCGCUCCCCCAGGCACCUAGUGCCCAUCGUUUACGGCGUGGACUAC